AUGAUUCUGGUUGCAAACCAAGUUGGAUGAGAAAUCAAAUUCAAUAGUUAGGUUCAAUGUUGACCUUGUGGGAAAAUUUGAUUCGGCUCUCAUCCAGUUUGGUUCGUGAGCAGAAUUAGGGAGAUAAUUUAGUUUGUGAACAAAGGUAGCACUUACACCAUAUUGAAUCCAUAGCAUUUGUGCGAGAUUCAAGGCAGGGAAGCUCAUAUGUUCCCCUUGUGACAUCACCAUCAUUCUGUCCCUCUGUACCCCUUGUGACUCCUAAUCAACUCACAGACACCUCAGAGGGCCAUCCAUGCCCCCACCGGUAAGCACCAUCUGUCAUGUCCAUGCUACAAGUUUCGACCCAUUUGGUCUCAUCUGGGAAGCCCCUGAUUAAAUUCUCUCUGAAGCAUUGGAGCUGCAGAUUUUAAGGUCCUAAUUCUUUUCUGCUUCUUAAACUGAGCCAGAAUUGUCAAGUGAGAACCAAUGAUAUGUGGGUGGCCAUCCCAUUAGCUCUUUGACAGAGACAAGGACAGCUGGGCUGCAAAGGGAGAAAAUGAUGCAAACAGAGAGAAAGUGUGAUAAGACAUCAAGUGACUGCCUGGGCUCCAAAGGCUUAUCAGCGUCUGCUCCUGGUGCUUGAGAGUCCUGGCUGUUCUUCCGGCCCUCAGCUACUGUUUAUUUCAAUGAUAAACUCCUCUUUGUUUUUUGUUUCAGUUUUUUUGUAGGUCAUGAUAAUUGUACCAAAAACAAAAACAAGUUUGAAAUAGCUACACUGACCAAGAUCAUCUGUGGGCAUCAGUGGGCAAUUCCAGAAUGUGGGAGAAUGCAGUGGGUCAAAGAGGAAUUGGGUUCAUCGCAGAAGAUGCCCGCAAGGGAGGGUUGCUCCCUUCAGAAACUUCAAGGAAGAAACUGACACCAUGUAACUGUGGCUCUUCCCUGAAGUCAAAAUAACCGUAAAAAGAAAACAGUCUGAGUCGAUUCAGGACAUCAAGGCAGCCAGUGCAACUAAAGACGCUCAUGACAGAGGACUCCCAGACUGCUUCAGAGAGGGGCAGGAACGGCGAGCUGAGUAUGUUCAAAGUGAAGGUGAAUCCAUUGGAGGGGAUGAACGCCAAUGGGACUUUUACUCCAGUGAUUUCAACAAAGUAAACAUUUACUGUAUUUUUCAAUCACAUCCUAUAUUAUAGCAUGGUAGUAGACGUCAGAAAAAUACAUAUUUAGGAACCUCUUUCCCAUAAUAAUAGUAAAGUCAUUAUAAG
rnacentral:lncRNA from 1 species